GCCGGGCAUGGUGGUGCAUGCCUGUAAUCCCGGUGGCUAGGGAGGCUGAGACAGGAGGAUCACAUGUUCAAAGCCAGCUCAGAAAAAGUGAGAUGCUAAACAACUCAGUGAGACCCUGUCUCUA
rnacentral:sRNA from 1 species